rnacentral:tRNA from 1 species
UGAGGCGUAGUGCAAUGGCAGCACUCUUGAUUCUGACUCAAGCAAUCUUGGUUCGAGUCCAAGCGCCUCAG